GCCGUAGGCUUAUUCAUGUCUGGGCCUUUGUUGCACUUGUGGUUUGGUCGUAUUGGCAAGGUGAUUCCUGGUCGCGACAUAAUUAGCACGCUGAAAAAGCUUGUGCUAGGACAAGUGUUUUUUGGACCUGCUUUCUGUGCUGCAUUUUUUGUUAUCAACUCAUACGCUCAAGGUGAUUUACUUCUUUCAAAUCUAUGCCGUAAUGUCAUCCAUUUCUCUAGCUUUAAGCGCCAUGUUUCGUAUUGCUACGCACCUCCUUUUUUCUUAGUAUUCUGAUGGAACUCUAUUUUGUGUGAUCGAGUAGUAUCAGUUGUCUGAAUUUGGAGUCAUGUCAAUUUAUGAUUAAAUUGUCGGUAGUGGCAUUUGUGGUGACUAUCGUUUUUGCAUGCCUUGCUUGUGAGCUCUACUGCACACCGAUUCUAUGAGAACCUCGUUUUUUCAUGUUUCUCCUGCAUAUCGGUGAUAUUAUCUGCCCUCACUUGUUUUGUUGCUCUCGGUCCUUUCAAUUGAUUUAAUGCCAGGCGAGAGAGGGGCACAAAUAACUACUCGGUUGCAGCGAGAUUUGAUACCCUGUUUAAAAAACGGGUUGAUAUACUGGCCUGCAUGUGACUUCAUCACUUAUCGAUAUGUUCCCAUCCCUCUUCAGGUGUGUCUCUGUACUGCGUCCUGCCUUUCGCGACUUGUACGAUGCUUUAGGUCUUUACAUUUGGUGCUGUGUCCAUGUCACUGACGAGCUGGAUGUAACUUGCUAUUCCUGUCUGCUUACUUGCUGUGGAGUUUUCCUCAGUCUUAACUGGUUAGAUGUUUUAUACUCGGCGCUGUUCAUAGGCGCCCGAGAUACGCAUUUGAUUUCUCUGCUCGAUAUGUAACGCUUGGUGACGGUAUUCUGUGCUUAUCCGCAGCCACUAGUAAGCAACUCUUUCUCUUUCUUGUGGACCAUCUACCUGACCUUCAUGGCGGGCAAAAAGGCUGCUAAGGUGCCACUAUCAACGACUGAAUCGGAAACGAGCGCUAUUGUGCCAUUAUGAUGAGGACUAUUAUUUAUAUUUUCAGCAACCUUAGUCGAUUGACAUAAGAAUCAUA
rnacentral:lncRNA from 1 species